AAUAUUGCACAUUGGAGGAAACUCUGAUGCAGCGACGCCGCGUGAGUGAAGAAGGUCUUCGGAUCGUAAAACUCUGUCCUUGGUGAAGAUAAUGAAGGUAGACAACGAGGAAGCACUGGCUAACUACGUGCCAGCAGCCGCGGUAAUACGUAGGGGGCUAGCGUUGUCCGGAUUUACUGGGCGUAAAGGGUGAGUAGGCGGUUGCAUAAGUCAGAUGUAAAAGGCUAAGGCUUAACCAUAGUAUGCAUUUGAAACUGUGGGACUUGAGUACAGGAGAGGUAAGUGGAAUUCCUAGUGUAGCGGUGAAAUGCGUAGAUAUUAGGAGGAACACCAGUGGCGAAGGCGGCUUACUGGACUGUAACUGACGCUGAGUCACGAAAGCGUGGGUAGCAAACAGG
rnacentral:rRNA from 1 species